rnacentral:tRNA from 1 species
GGUUUAGUUUAAUGGUAGAACAGCGGUCUCCAAAACCGUUAGUGGAGGUUCAACUCCUUCAAC